GGCUGAUCCAAUGAUACUGGGUUGAUUCAGAACUUAUUAACAUUAGUGUCACUAAAGUUGGUAUACAACCCCCACUGCUAAAUUUGACUGGUUUAAA
rnacentral:Y_RNA from 1 species